AUGAGGGGCCUGUAGGGAAAGAAGAAUUCAAGAGGCAAAGCCCAGACCAGGGAGUGUGACAGCAGCCGUGUGCAUCUCACCUCUGUUCAAAACAAGACAAAGACGAACAAAUAUUUUAAAGUAUUGAUAAGAAAAAGUGAUGUUUGGAUUGUAUUUCCUGAGUCAUACUCCAACUUAUAUCUGAUUUCUGUUUCCGGGGCCAGUUGGUCUGAGGCCAAGGAGUCUGGCCUCCACCCAGAGCAGGGAGGGACUGGCCCCUCGCCCCCCUCACCCUUGCUGCCCUGGCACACUCAGGAAGCAAGGCCCAGCUCUGAGCCCUCCUCACCCCUGGGGUCUUAACUUUCCUGAAAGUAGCAGAUGCCACGUGAAGGGGCAGCUUGGCCAGGAUCCUGAACUGGGCAGGGCUCUGGGCCUACGAGGGCAGGUUCACAGUCCAGCCAGAUUGUCUCCUCACCCCCAGCAGAGUGCAUGCAAAAGACACCCCUUUUCCCACCCACCUUAUCGGUGCCCCCAAACCCCUGGCCUGCUGGGUAGAUGGUGGUGAGGCCAGGCCAGCAGUGCUGUGGCCAAGGGAGAAGAAAAUAAAAUGCAGACUCUGCCCCAUGGCCCACCCCAAGCAGGGGAAGGCCCCUUCCUGGGCCCCCUUUUCCACCAGCCAAAUCUGCCUGGCCCUCGGACGCCUCUGCCUGCCCCAACGCCUUUAGAGGUUUCUUGGUCUUUUCAGUGCCGCUCGGUGGGGCAGAUGGGCGUGCUCGGGGCAUAGAAUAAGGGUCCCUCUGACCACCCGAACCCACAUCCUGGCCCCAGGUGCAAGGAGCACCCCUCAGGGGCUCUACCCCAGUAUCCCAGGAGAAUUCACACCCCUCCCUUUCUCCCACAGCCAAGGAUACAUAGGGCUGCCUGGACCUGAGCCCGACAGCCUUCAGCUUCAGAAAUGCGUGGGGGACCACGUACUCCCCGUGUCCUCCCACACCAAGGUUCCCCUGGCCCCACGGGAGCUUCAGGAAAGCCCCCCCAAGUUAGCCGCUGCUCUAGGACAAGCUCUGUGUCACCCACACACCACAGGCCUCGGAAGCAGGGGUGCUGGCGGGUGCCCUGCGCUCCAAUCCCAGGUCCCCUUGGCCCCCCUAUUUUUCUUGGGCCCAUUAGGGCCUGUUUCUCACCUGCUGGGCGGACUCCCUGAAGGGCCUUUCCCAGAGGCUCCCCAGGAAGCUCAAGGCUGGGGGCUUACGUUGUGGUCAGGGGUCCCUGCCCCCAGCCCCCCGCUCCCACCCCCGAGUCUAGCCUCUGUCUCACAUGAGUGCAAUAUUUCAUUCCUGGUGGUUGUCUGGGGAGGUGGUUGUACGAGGUCCUGCUCGAGGCUCGGGGAUCAGAACAAUGUCAAGUGAAGAGAAACACACUGGGGGUACGCCGAGCCACUGGAGUUCCCGGGAAGGCUGAGGAGGGCGCGGCCACCUCAUCCUCGUCCCGCUUCUGCUGGGUUCCGCUUUGUCCCUUGUUUUUUUCUUUUUUUGCUUUCUGUGUGCGUGCGAUUGGUGUGGCCCCUCCCCUCUUGCCGUGCUUAACGUGACGAAAGCACGAUUCCUGUAAAUGUGUAAACUAAGGGGAUGGUUGGAUUUUUUUUUCAAUGUAAACACUAAAAACAAAAUGGACAAAAAAACACACAAAGGUUUUAUGAACAGCAGACUAUGUAAAGGCAUUUUAGUAUCAAAUUUUUUAUUGAUAACUUGCUUAAGAAUAAAUAUAUGGACUAUUGUACAGGU